AUGAAAAUCUUAAGCUGGAACUGCCGCGGGAUAGGCGACCCCGCGACAGUUCAUGAGCUCCGCGACCUUGUGGAGAUUAGCUCGCCAUCUAUUUUAUGUUUAGUUGAGACUCAGUUACAGAAAAGCCGUGUGGAAGGUCUUCGUGUGUCGUUAGGUUUUGAUUUCAGCUUUGGAGUAGGGAGUAGUGGCCGCAGUGGCGGCCUUUGUAUCUUUUGGAAGAACUCUUUGGAUGUUGCAAUAAGAAACUUUUCCGAGUAUGUCCCCGACACCUGGGUAACGGAAGCUGGAAAGGAGCAAUGGAGGUUGACUUGCUUCUAUGGAGAAGCAACCAGAAACUUGCGCUACAAAACAUGGAAUACUAUGAAGCAUUUGCGAGGGGAAAGCACCCUCCCGUGGAUGUGUAUUGGUGAUUUUAACAAGAUCCUGCGGCCUGAAGAACAACAUGGUCCAAAUGAGCGUGAUAUCUCUCAGAUCGAAGCAUUUCGGGAAGCAGUCGAUGUUUGUGGUCUUGCGGACUUGGGUUAUCGCGGUUUGGACUGGACAUGGGAGAAGAAGGUAGCCGGAGGACAUUUCUGUCGCGUUCGUCUGGACAGAGCUUUGGCUUCUCCUUGCUGGUCAAGCCUUUUCCCGUUCGCCUUAGUUGAGCAUCUUACCGCUGCAAAGUCGGAUCACUCCCCGAUCCUUCUGUAG
rnacentral:rRNA from 1 species